UACGUAGGGGGCAAGCGUUGUCCGGAAUCAUUGGGCGUAAAGCGCGUGUAGGCGGUUCGGGUAAGUCUGCUGUGAAAGUCCAGGGCUCAACUCCGGAAUUGCCAUUGAAACUGUUGGAACUUGAGGAUGAGAGAGGUGAGUGGAAUUCCCAGUGUAGGAGGUGAAAUUCGUAGAUGUUGGGAAGAACACCGGUGGCGAAGGCGGCUACACUGGCUCAUUACUGACGCUCAGGCGCGAUAGCGUGGGGAUCAAACAGG
rnacentral:rRNA from 1 species